rnacentral:misc_RNA from 1 species
AAGUCGUAACAAGGUUUCCGUAGGUGAACCUGCGGAAGGAUCAUUAAGAACCUUUCAGCUGACGGUUAGCCCUCAGCGCCUCGCCCUUAAAACCGGCUUGGUUAAACCCAAUGUGAACCAAAAACAACCUAUCGCUUCGGUAGCGGUCCGCGCCCUUCAAACAGGCGCGGGCGGUCAGCCUGCCGGCAGCAACCAAACCAAACCCUUUUUGUUUAAAACAUGUAUGUCUGAUCAAUAUUUUCGAAUGAAAAUUAAAA